rnacentral:tRNA from 1 species
CUAUCAGUGGCCGCUGGACAUCCGGGUCGCCGCGUUCAAGUCGCCGUCCGGUCCCCAGCUGGCCGGCCGGUUCGGCGCCGGCCUGGUGUC